rnacentral:rRNA from 1 species
UACGUAGGGUGCAAGCGUUGUCCGGAAUUAUUGGGCGUAAAGAGCUCGUAGGCGGUUUGUUGCGUCGGCCGUGAAAACUUGGGGCUUAACCCCGAGCCUGCGGUCGAUACGGGCAGGCUAGAGUUCGGUAGGGGAGACUGGAAUUCCUGGUGUAGCGGUGAAAUGCGCAGAUAUCAGGAGGAACACCGGUGGCGAAGGCGGGUCUCUGGGCCGAUACUGACGCUGAGGAGCGAAAGCGUGGGGAGCGAACAGG